UUGGAGGGCAAGUCUGGUGCCAGCAGCCGCGGUAAUUCCAGCUCCAAUAGCGUAUAUUAAAGUUGUUGCAGUUAAAAAGCUCGUAGUUGAAUUUCGGGGUCAGCAGGUUGGUCGUGCCACUGGUAUGCACUGGCUUCGCUGAUUCCUCCUUUCUGAAGAACUGUAAUGCCAUUAAUUUGGUGUUGCAGGGAAACAGGACUGUUACUUUGAAAAAAUUAGAGUGUUUAAAGCAGGCUAACGCUUGAAUACAUUAGCAUGGAAUAAUGAAAUAGGACGUUUGAUCCUAUUUUGUUGGUUUCUAGGAUUGACGUAAUGAUUAAUAGGGAUAGUUGGGGGCAUUAGUAUUCAAUUGUCAGAGGUGAAAUUCUUGGAUUUAUUGAAGACUAACUACUGCGAAAGCAUUUGCCAAGGAUGUUUUCAUUAAUCAAGAACGAAAGUUAGGGGAUCGAAGACGAUCAGAUACCGUCGUAGUCUUAACCAUAAACUAUGCCGACUAGGGAUCGGAUGAUGUUAAUUUUUUAAUGACUCAUUCGGCGCCUUACGGGAAAC
rnacentral:rRNA from 1 species